rnacentral:lncRNA from 1 species
CCCGACCCCCCUACCACUCCCUACCACUGUACCUUCUUUAGUUAGAGGCUUAAACGCUCAACGAGUAACAGGGUAUGUCGAUGAAUUCUGAUUUUUUUUCAUAAAUCAAAGUUUAGGGCAACCACCCGCCGCCUCCUGCUCACUUGUCAGGAGCUCCGGGUGACGGGGGAAGCCUAGACCAGCUUCCUGUCUGGAUCAGGUUUUACGACCGGGGAAGGAGCUGAAGACACGCGCGCGCACACACACACAAACGCGGGCGCAGACGCAGCCCAAGCGAGGACACCUCCCGCACCCUCGCGGGCUCCCAGCCCUCCUUUGAAUUUGCAACCGGUCGCGGAUAGGUUGGGGGGGUCGUUUCCCAGGAGCUUGGCUCCUCCGUCCUCCUACCCCAUCCCCUGGCCCUUGGAGAUGCUGUCCAGUUCCGUCACUGACCAGAACUGACAGCCACUUGGCCCCCUGCUCUCUUGAGUGCCCAGCAUCCUUUGCUCUGGACGACUAAAUGCUCUCUGUGAGCCUUGCUUGGUUGGUACGGCGCGCGCUGUGCGUGUGGGACCCACUCUUCGGCAGGCACACGACCUUCGUACACCGGCUGGGCAACCACCCACUUCAUCCCCUCCCCGGACCCCGCAGGCUGAGGCCCCAUUGAGAGCGCAGCUGCAGCGUCUCUUUCAGAAGGGCAGAGCAGGCUGCGCGUGCACGGCGCGCGGGGGGAGGAAAAGGGCUGAGAGCUGAGGGAAGUCGACAAUUCAUUGCACCCCAGUCUUCAAGCGUCCCUUCUGCGCGGAUCACGGAGGGACAGACGUGCAUUGGCGCCUUCCCUCGAUCCCUCGCUCGUGCAGGAAAGACUGGACGGUGGGGGCUCUCUGAGUUUGCGAGGGCCACGGAGGCGCCCCAGGGUGCCAGGCGCCCUUGUCAAGGGCCGCGCCCGAAGCUCCAGAUUCAGUCCCCAGCACCUGUAGGAGGCGGUUUCGGGUCUGAGAGAAGGGAACAUAUGGCAGGUAGUUAACAGGGAGAGGCUGCGCCCUGGGCGCAGUUACGAGGAAGCCAAGCUCUGCGGAAGGUCUCGGCUCGCUUUGUCCUCCUUGGAUCAGCUGGUCUCUGCCUUUCCGCUGGCAGCCGCGGCAGUCAGGCCCUGGCGCAAGCGUCCGGGUGGAGCUGCCUACUCGACCCGGGGUGGCAGGGGUUGAGGGGGCGGCAAAACCACCCCAGUGGCCCCAGCAGGC